AGAGGAUCUGACUCUAGUACGAGAGGACCGAGUUGGACAAACCUCUAGUGUACCUGUUGUAGUGCCAACUGCACCGCAGGGUAGCUAUGUUUGGAAGAGAUAAGCACUGAAAGCAUCUAAGUGCGAAACUCACCUCGAGAUGAGAUUUCCUUUAAGGGUCGUUGAAGACUACGACGUUGAUAGGCUGCAAGUGUAAAGACAGUAAUGUCAAAGCUGAGCAGUACUAAUUACCCGUAAGCUUUCUAUU
rnacentral:rRNA from 1 species